UGGGAGGAUGUAUAGCGAAAGCUGGUUGUAUUAACUUAUAGUUAGUGCAGCAUCGACUAUGUCGAAUAAAGUUCUAGAUAGAGUUAUGAUAAUGACAUUUUCUAUCUAUGUGUCUCGACCAAAUCACGUGCCAGCAGUCGCGGUAAUACGUGGGAGACUAGUGUUAUUCAUCUUUAAUUGGUUUAAAGGGUACCUAGACGGUUCAUCAAGCCCCUAAAGGGUACUAAUGGACUAGAGUUUUAUGAGAGGGGGGGUGUACAUGAGAGUGGAGAGAUGAAAUACUGUCAUACCUUAUUUGAUACAGGCAACAGCGAAAGCAACCUUUUAUGUAAAAACUGACGUUGAAGGACGAAGGCUUAGUAUAACCAACAGGAUUAGAUACCCCAGCAGUCUUUGCAGACAAUGAUGAAUGUCAUAGAUUGGAAUUAAGUAUUU
rnacentral:rRNA from 1 species